UACAGAGGGUGCGAGCGUUAAUCGGAAUUACUGGGCGUAAAGCGUGCGUAGACGGUUAUUUAAGUCGGAUGUGAAAGCCCCGGGCUCAACCUGGGAAUUGCAUUCGAGACUGAAUAGCUAGGGUACGGUAGAGGGAAGUGGAAUUUCCGGUGUAGCGGUGAAAUGCGUAGAUAUCGGAAGGAACAUCAGUGGCGAAAGCGGGUCUCUGGACAGUUCCUGACGCUGAGGUGCGAAAGCGUGGGGAGCAAACAGG
rnacentral:rRNA from 1 species